rnacentral:rRNA from 1 species
GCGGCCUAUCAGCUUGUUGGUGGGGUGAUGGCCUACCAAGGCGGUGACGGGUAGCCGGCCUGAGAGGGCGACCGGCCACACUGGGACUGAGACACGGCCCAGACUCCUACGGGAGGCAGCAGUGGGGAAUAUUGCGCAAUGGGCGGAAGCCUGACGCAGCGACGCCGCGUGGGGGAUGACGGCCUUCGGGUUGUAAACCUCUUUCGCCAGGGACGAAGAGUGAUUGACGGUACCUGGAGAAGAAGCACCGGCCAACUACGUGCCAGCAGCCGCGGUAACACGUAGGGUGCGAGCGUUGUCCGGAAUUAUUGGGCGUAAAGAGCUCGUAGGCGGUGUGUCGCGUCGGCCGUGAAAACUUGGGGCUUAACUCUGAGCGUGCGGUCGAUACGGGCAUCACUUGAGUUCGGCAGGGGAGACUGGAAUUCCUGGUGUAGCGGUGAAAUGCGCAGAUAUCAGGAGGAACACCGGUGGCGAAGGCGGGUCUCUGGGCCGAUACUGACGCUGAGGAGCGAAAGCGUGGGGAGCGAACAGGAUUAGAUACCCUGGUAGUCCACGCCGUAAACGUUGGGCGCUAGGUGUGGGGACCAUUCCACG